rnacentral:rRNA from 1 species
GACGAACGCUGGCGGCGUGCUUAACACAUGCAAGUCGAACGGUGAAGCUCCAGCUUGCUGGAGUGGAUCAGUGGCGAACGGGUGAGUAACACGUGAGCAACCUGCCCCUGACUCUGGAAUAAGCGCUGGAAACGGCGUCUAAUACUGGAUACGAGAAGGGUCCGCAUGGGCACUUUCUGGAAAGUUUUUCGGUUGGGGAUGGGCUCGCGGCCUAUCAGCUUGUUGGUGAGGUAAUGGCUCACCAAGGCGACGACGGGUAGCCGGCCUGAGAGGGCGACCGGCCACACUGGGACUGAGACACGGCCCAGACUCCUACGGGAGGCAGCAGUGGGGAAUAUUGCACAAUGGGCGAAAGCCUGAUGCAGCGACGCCGCGUGAGGGAUGACGGCCUUCGGGUUGUAAACCUCUUUCAGCAGGGAAGUAGCGAAAGUGACGGUACCUGCAGAAGAAGCACCGGCUAACUACGUG